CGGGGCGACUCGGGAGUGCGGUCGGCAGUAGAGCCUGGCGGUGUCUUGGCUUCGGCGCUUUAACCCUGUAGGGGCGUGCGACUGCGUCCUUCUCAAGGGGGCGCCCCUCGAGCGGCGGGCUGAGUGGCGUCCAGCGGCGGGGAGGCGAAAACCCUGGGGGACUCAGAAGCGGGUGGCGGUGUAGGGCGUGUAAGGAGGAGAUAGCCAGGCCCCUGCGGGGGGGGCGGGCCCUCCUUAGCGUCCCAGAGGGCUUGUCUGCUACAGGGGCUCCCAGCGGCCUCCCGCACCGAAGGGACCCUGGGCGUCUGAGGCCCUGAUCCGGGCGGGCCUUCAGGAUGUUAGCAGUCCCUGUCCGGUUGAAGGUAGGAAGCCGAAAACCCGAGUGGGGGACGAACAGACUUACCUCCUGUCCCGCAAAAGAUCCACUAGAUCGUCGUCUCCAAAACCUGAGAGACCGCGAACGGGUUCCAGAGCCGCAGCGUUCUCUCAGACCUGGCGUUCAGGAAGAUUCUAGAGAGCACGGGCAGGUCCCGGAGGUCUCAGACCCGCAGGCCUGCGGGGCGGGGGCGGGGUGGCGCCCAGGACGACUCCCCGGGCUCAGCUUGGCUGCCUGCCUCCUUCUUAACCAACUUGGAAAGCUGUAUUUGUUCCCAUGAUUCAGCAAACAAUGAGUACCUACUGUGUGUAGAAGCAGCAGGACAGCCUGUCAUCACUGGGAAAGAGGCCAGAAGAGCCGUUUGGCCAGGGUCUCCAAUUUAGGCUUUCAACAUUAUCUCUAAAGAAGGUUAUACAUUAUGUCGGCUCCACUGGCUGAUGGGAUCAAAGACCCUCCUUGUAUAUCCUUAAACCUGUACUCUAUUACCAGGCCACUGUGCCUGUGGAGCACUGUAAGUUCCUACCUUUUAAUAAAUUUUAUAAUUAUCUUGUGAGCA
ensembl:lncRNA ZNF436-AS1 ZNF436 antisense RNA 1